UACGAAGGGGGCUAGCGUUGCUCGGAAUCACUGGGCGUAAAGCGCACGUAGGCGGCUUUUUAAGUCAGGGGUGAAAUCCCGGAGCUCAACUCCGGAACUGCCUUUGAUACUGGGUGUCUUGAGUGUGGAAGAGGUGAGUGGAAUUCCGAGUGUAGAGGUGAAAUUCGUAGAUAUUCGGAGGAACACCAGUGGCGAAGGCGGCUCACUGGUCCAUUACUGACGCUGAGGUGCGAAAGCGUGGGGAGCAAACAGG
rnacentral:rRNA from 1 species